AGGAAGGGUUAAGAAAAAAUGCAGAAAAUAUACAAAGAAUUAAAGAGGUGAUGAUAGAAAAAAAAUUGUGGAAGGAAGGAGGGAAAGAGCUAAGGAGAAGUGCAUCUAACAUGAAGCAAGACUUUUACUUAAUCAUCCAAGCAAAGCCUCCUAAGGAUAGACCUCUUUUUAGGUCUCUUUAUUCCUCUCUCUUCAAUUCUAUCACCAAGAUGGAUUAUGCAGCAAGAGAUGAAGAUGAAAUUAAGGUAUUGGAGUACUAUAAGAAUAUUGUUGCGAUCCUCGAUGACAUCUUUCGUCGAAUUUAGUUUCGAACAUAAAUAUUAAUUUAGGAAAUCGAGUCCCAUUUGUUGUCAUGUUCUUUCUUGUCUUUCCAAAGGAAAACACUAGUUGAAAUACGAAGUGACAAGAUAAAAAGUUGGCAAAUGUUUUUUUGUAUUAUU